CAGAGUUCUGCGAACGAGGAGAUUACGCAUCGGGAUCAUUAUCAAAAUGAGACAUAACUACUUUUAGAGAAACAAGACAAAUAUUCUGCGAUAGCUUCGAGUUGCUACGUUAAGUACUUGCAAGCGAGUGACUUUGAAAAGGAGCCUAAUUCGGAGUAGGAUCGAAACAUCAUCGACAGCACACUUUAAAUAUAUACUUUUGCGCUUCUUAUUGUAUUAUCAUGCGCGAUAAAAUUUCGGGUCACCCUGGCAUUUUGAUGGCGAGUAAUUUCAACUGACCUGUAGCUCCGACAAUCAACCGAUCGAUCGCGCCAGCCUCGUAGAAUUCCU